rnacentral:rRNA from 1 species
CCUACGGGAGGCAGCAGUGGGGAAUAUUGCACAAUGGGCGAAAGCCUGAUGCAGCAACGCCGCGUGAGUGAAGAAGUAAUUCGUUAUGUAAAGCUCUAUCAGCAGGGAAGAAAAUGACGGUAUCUGAGUAAGAAGCCCCGGCUAACUACGGGCCAGCAGCCGCGGUAAUACGUAGGGGGCAAGCGUUAGGCGGAAUUACUGGGUGUAAAGGGAGCGUAGACGGGGGUGCAAGUCUGGUGUGAAAGGCGGGGGCUCAACCCCCGGACUGCUCUGGAAACUGUACGGCUGGAGUGCAGGAGAGGUAAGUGGAAUUCCUGGUGUAGCGGUGAAAUGCGUAGAGAUUAGGAGGAAUACCAGUGGCGAAGGCGGCUUACUGGACUAUAACUGACGUUGAGGCUCGAAAGCGUGGGGAGCAAACAGGAUUAGAUACCCGGGUAGUC